UUUUCAGCCGCCGCGGUAAUACGAAGGGGGCUAGCGUUGUUCGGAUUUACUGGGCGUAAAGCGCACGUAGGCGGGUCGUUAAGUCGAGGGUGAAAUCCUGGAGCUCAACUCCAGAACUGCCUUCGAUACUGGCGACCUAGAGUCCGGAAGAGGUGAGUGGAACUCCUAGUGUAGAGGUGGAAUUCGUAGAUAUUAGGAAGAACACCAGUGGCGAAGGCGGCUCACUGGUCCGGUACUGACGCUGAGGUGCGAAAGCGUGUGGAGCAAACAGGAUUAGAAACCCCUGUAGUCC
rnacentral:rRNA from 1 species